UACGUAUGGUGCAAGCGUUAUCCGGAUUUACUGGGUGUAAAGGGAGCGCAGGCGGAAGGCUAAGUCUGAUGUGAAAGCCUGGGGCUCAACCUCGGUACUGCAUUGGAAACUGGUCAUCUAGAGUGUCGGAGGGGUAAGUGGAAUUCCUAGUGUAGCGGUGAAAUGCGUAGAUAUUAGGAGGAACACCAGUGGCGAAGGCGGCUUACUGGACGAUAACUGACGCUGAGGCUCGAAAGCGUGGGGAGCAAACAGG
rnacentral:rRNA from 1 species